GGGCCCGCACAAGCGGUGGAGCAUGUGGUUUAAUUCGAUGCAACGCGAAGAACCUUACCUGGUCUUGACAUACACAGAAUCUUGUAGAGAUACGAGAGUGCCUUCGGGAAUUGUGAUACAGGUGCUGCAUGGCUGUCGUCAGCUCGUGUCGUGAGAUGUUGGGUUAAGUCCCGCAACGAGCGCAACCCUUGUCCUUAGUUACCAGCGGGUUAAGCCGGGAACUCUAAGGAUACUGCCAGUGACAAACUGGAGGAAGGCGGGGACGACGUCAAGUCAUCAUGGCCCUUACGAGUAGGGCUACACACGUGCUACAAUGGCGCAUACAGAGGGCGGCCAACUUGCGAAAGUGAGCGAAUCCCAAAAAGUGCGUCGUAGUCCGGAUUGGAGUCUGCAACUCGACUCCAUGAAGUAGGAAUCGCUAGUAAUCG
rnacentral:rRNA from 1 species